rnacentral:sRNA from 1 species
GAGUAAGCCAAAUCCUCAGGUUGCGCCGUGUAAAAAAAAUCACUCAAAUGAUUCUGGCGUAACGACCAGUUCCCUGGUGUUGGCGCAGUAUUCGCGCACCCCGGUUUAUCC